UCUCCUGGACUUCCCCAACACCAGAUUAUUGGGAUCACCAAAGAGAGUGACUGCACCUGAAAGCCUGGGGCCGCCACACCAAAUCAGAGAAAAAAAAUCCCUCUUCCUCGGGAUGGCAGAUUUGGAUGUUUCGAACUUGGCACUACUGAUGUCUGGGGCCACAUAAUCCUUUAUUGUGGGGAGAUCCCUGUGCCUUGUAGAAUGUUUAGCAGAGUCCAGUGACUGCCUGCCCCCACCAGUGACAACCGGAAAUGGCUCUGGAAUUGGGAAAUAUCCUCUGACAGGCAACACUGCCCCUAGUUGAGAAACAUUGGUGCAGGAUUUCAUUCACACCCAUUCUCCUGGUAAGCCCCCAAGUAGAAUUCCUUUAUAACAUUGGAGUCGGAGAAGGCAAAAUUAAUAAUUUACUUAACUCAUGGAAUUCAGCCUUUACAUUCAACUGAAUACCCUGAAACUGUCUGCUUCAAGCUAAUAUAUGUAUUUUCUCUUCAAGAUCCUAGACUGCAAAAUUUAAGUCAAGCAUUUAACAUUUUAGUCUCAGAUGUUACCAGAGCAAAUCACCAAGUUACCUUCUAGAAGAAUUCAGUACAUAAUCCCUCCGACUCUCAUGAAUGUGGACGAUACUGUGUUCAGAAGCCUCUGCUGUUCAUGAUACAGCUAGUGCCUAUAAAACCUGUUCUUAGAGUCCUCUUGGCUUUAGCAUUGCCACCAAGAUAUGGCUUUCACCUAGUCCUGCCUUCCUCAAGGGACAAGGAGACAGUUCCUUGUGUUUUGUUUAAGUGCCCCGUUGCCAUGAACCUGAAAGAUGGAAGCAGAAUGUGCCAGCCAGAAAGGGGCCAUAGCUGUAGGGUUGGCACAAAGAUGAGUUCUGAUAGCUUUUUAUUUUGGUGUUGGGGUGUCAGGCUAAAACUUCUCAUAGAGCUAACCAGAUUACAUCAGGCUUUUAAAGAUUUAAUUGUGUAGUUUCGUUUUGAGAAGACAUAAUUUGGCCUGCUGUGUUUGUAUGUACAGGUUGAGCAUCCCUAAAGCUCCAAAACAUUUUUCAGCUCAUGUCUCUAAAAAUACUCUAAAAUCCAAAAUUCUCUGAACACGAAAUUUCAGAUUUUAGAGUAUUUCUGAUUUUGGAUUUUCAUAUCAUGGAGGCUUUACCUAGAAAGUCUACACAAAUAUUCCAAAAUUUGAAAAAUAGGAAUUUCAGAACACUUCUGGCAUUUCAGAUAAGGAAUACUCAACCUAUAUUUGCACACUC